rnacentral:rRNA from 1 species
ACAAUGUUCAAUCCCAACUUUUCUGAGUCCUAGUACGCAAGGAAUGGUCUCAGCGAUGCUCGACUAUAUUGGCCCCAUCGACGUAAUCAACUUCUGGCUGCUGCAAAGAAGGAUAACAAAAGGUUUCGGGAUUAAUAAGGUGCCAUGUGGGUGCAUAGCCCCCUGGUCCCCU